GGAAUAUUGGUCAAUGGACGCAAGUCUGAACCAGCCAUGCCGCGUGAAGGAUGAAGGCCUUCUGGGUUGUAAACUUCUUUUAUCUGGGAAGAAACCACUUUUUUCUAAGAGUGUUGACGGUACCAGAGGAAUAAGCACCGGCUAACUCCGUGCCAGCAGCCGCGGUAAUACGGAGGGUGCAAGCGUUAUCCGGAUUCACUGGGUUUAAAGGGUGUGUAGGCGGGUGUUUAAGUCAGUGGUGAAAUCUCCGGGCUCAACCCGGAAACUGCCAUUGAUACUAUUCAUCUUGAAUACUGUUGAGGUAGGCGGAAUAUAUCAUGUAGCGGUGAAAUGCAUAGAUAUGAUAUAGAACACCGAUUGCGAAGGCAGCUUACUAAACAGUUAUUGACGCUGAGGCACGAAAGCGUGGGGAUCAAAC
rnacentral:rRNA from 1 species